rnacentral:tRNA from 1 species
GUGGGAUUAGUUCAGUUGGUUAGAGCGCCAGUUUGUGGCACUGGAGGUCGUGGGUUCGAAUCCCACAUCCCACC